UUACGGGAGGCAGCAGUGGGGAAUUUUGCGCAAUGGGCGAAAGCCUGACGCAGCAACGCCGCGUGAGGGAUGAAGGCCUUCGGGUUGUAAACCUCUUUUAACCGGGAAGAAACCUUCGUCCGCAAAUAGCGGGCGGAAUUGACGGUACCGGUUGAAUAAGCCACGGCUAACUCUGUGCCAGCAGCCGCGGUAAGACAGAGGUGGCAAGCGUUGUUCGGAUUUACUGGGCGUAAAGAGCGCGUAGGCGGUCCUUUAAGUCGGUGGUGAAAUCCCGGGGCUUAACCCCGGAACUGCCUCCGAUACUGUUGGACUUGAGUGCGGGAGAGGGUAGUGGAAUUCCCAGUGUAGAGGUGAAAUUCGUAGAUAUUGGGAAGAACACCAGUGGCGAAGGCAGCUACCUGGACCGCAACUGACGCUGUGGCGCGAAAGCGUGGGGAGCAAACAGGAUUAGAUACCCCGGUAGC
rnacentral:rRNA from 1 species